rnacentral:rRNA from 1 species
CCCUUAGAUGUCCUGGGCCGCACGCGCGCUACACUGAUGCAUUCAACGAGUUUCACCUUGGCCGAGAGGCCUGGGCAAUCUUUUAAACCUGCAUCGUGAUAGGGAUAGAUUAUUGCAAUUGUUAAUCUUGAACGAGGAAUUCCUAGUAAACGCAAAUCAUCAAUUUGCAUUGACUACGUCCCUGCCCUUUGUACACACCGCCCGUCGCACCUACCGAUUGAAUGGUCCGGUGAAGCCUCGGGAUUGUGGCCAGUUCACUUUAUUGGGAGUUGGCUGUGAGAACUUGUCUAAACCUUAUCAUUUAGAGGAAGGUGAAGUCGUAACA